AGAGUUUGAUCCUGGCUCAGAACGAACGCUGGCGGCGUGCUUCAUACAUGCAAGUCGUACGAGAAAGUUCGGGGAAACCUGAAUAAGUACAGUGGCGAACGGGUGCGUAACACGUGAGAAACAUGCCUCUAUGUUGGGGAUAAGCUUGCGAAAGCGGGUCUAAUACCGGAUGUGAUCACUGAGGGACAUCCCUUGGUGAUUAAAGGUGGUUGAGUCUAUGCCACCGCAUAGAGAUUGUCUCGCGGCCCAUUAGCUUGAUGGCGGGGUAACGGCCCACCAUGGCUCCGAUAGGUAGCCGACCUGAGAGGGUGUCCGGCCACACUGGGACUGAGAUACGGCCCAGACUCCUACGGGAGGCAGCAGUAGGGAAUAUUGGACAAUGGGCGAAAGCCUGAUCCAGCAACGCCGCGUGGAUGACGAAGCAUCUUGGUGUGUAAAAUCCUGUCAGUGGGGACGAAAAGUAGGGGUAGGAAAUGCCCUCUACCUGACUGUACCCGCAGAGGAAGUUCCGGCCAACUCCGUGCCAGCAGCCGCGGUAAUACGGGGGGAACGAGCGUUGUUCGGAUUUACUGGGCGUAAAGGGCACGCAGGUGGGAAGACAAGUCAGAUGUGAAAUCCCAGAGCUUAACUCUGGGCCUGCAUUUGAUACUGUUUUUCUUGAGUACGAGAGAGGAUGGCAGAAUUCUUGGUGUAGCGGUGAAAUGCGUAGAUAUCAAGAAGAAUACCGGUGGCGAAGGCGGCCAUCUGGCUCGAUACUGACGCUCAGGUGCGAAGGUCGGGGGAGCAAACAGGAUUAGAUACCCUGGUAGUCCCGACAGUAAACGAUGGGAACUAGGUGUUGGAGGUAUCGACCCCUCCAGUGCCGCAGCUAACGCAUAAG
rnacentral:rRNA from 1 species